CGAAAGCCUGACGGAGCAACGCCGCGUGAGGGAGGAAGGCCUUAGGGUUGUAAACCUCUUUUCUCUGGGAAGAAGAUCUGACGGUACCAGAGGAAUAAGCCUCGGCUAACUCCGUGCCAGCAGCCGCGGUAAGACGGAGGAUGCAAGCGUUCUCCGGAAUUAUUGGGCGUAAAGCGUCCGCAGGCGGCUUAUUAAGUCUGCUGUUAAAGCCCACAGCUCAACUGUGGAUCGGCAGUGGAAACUAGUGAGCUAGAGUACGGUAGGGGUAGAGGGAAUUCCCAGUGUAGCGGUGAAAUGCGUAGAUAUUGGGAAGAACACCAGUGGCGAAGGCGCUCUACUGGGCCGUAACUGACGCUGAGGGACGAAAGCUAGGGGAGCG
rnacentral:rRNA from 1 species